UACGGAGGGUGCGAGCGUUGUUCGGAAUUAUUGGGCGUAAAGCGCGUGUAGGCGGUUUGGUAAGUCAGAUGUGAAAGCCCUGGGAUCAACCGAGGAAGUGCAUUUGAAACUACCAUUCUUGAGUAUGGGGGAGGAGAGUGGAAUUCCCAGUGUAGAGGUGAAAUUCGUAGAUAUUGGGAGGAACACCCGUGGCGAAGGCGACUCUCUGGACCAAUACUGACGCUAAGACGCGAAAGCGUGGGGAGCAAACAGG
rnacentral:rRNA from 1 species